CCUACGGGAGGCAGCAGUGAGGAAUAUUGGUCAAUGGACGAGAGUCUGAACCAGCCAAGUAGCGUGAAGGAUGACUGGCCUAUGGGUUGUAAACUUCUUUUAUAUGGGAAUAAAACGUUCCACGUGUGGGAUUUUGUAUGUACCAUAUGAAUAAGGAUCGGCUAACUCCGUGCCAGCAGCCGCGGUAAUACGGAGGAUCCGAGCGUUAUCCGGAUUUAUUGGGUUUAACGGGAGCGUAGGUGGAUUGUUAAGUCAGUUGUGAAAGUUUGCGGCUCAACCGUAAAAUUGCAGUGGAAACUGGCAGUCUUGAGUACAGUAGAGGUGGGCGGAAUUCGUGGUGUAGCGGUGAAAUGCUUAGAUAUCACGAAGAACUCCGAUUGCGAAGGCAGUUCACUGGACUGCAACUGACACUGAGGCUCGAAAGUGUGGGUAUCAAACAGGAUUAGAUACCCGGGUAGUC
rnacentral:rRNA from 1 species